rnacentral:rRNA from 1 species
UACGUAGGGUGCAAGCGUUAAUCGGAAUUACUGGGCGUAAAGCGUGCGCAGGCGGAUUUGUAAGACAGAUGUGAAAUCCCCGGGCUCAACCUGGGAACUGCAUUUGUGACUGCAAGGCUAGAGAUUGGGAGAGGUAGGUGGAAUUCCAAGUGUAGCAGUGAAAUUCGUAGAGAUGUGGAGGAACACCGAUGGCGAAGGCAGCUAACUGGGACGUUACUGACGCUCAUGUACGAAAGCGUGGGGAGCAAACAGG